rnacentral:sRNA from 1 species
AGAGCGUGCCUUUCAGGCAUCCUCUCCUAAAACUUUCACGGCCGGUCUCUGACCGGCCUUUUUUUUAUCGUCG